rfam:Danio rerio chromosome 13, GRCz11 reference primary assembly.
AGCCACAGCCAUAUCACCCUGCAGCCCAAGACUCACUGAAGCUAAGCAGGGCUGAGCCUGGUCAGUCCCUGGAUAGGAGACCACAUGGGAAAACUAGGUUGCUGUUGGAU